AUUGAACGCUGGCGGCAUGCUUUACACAUGCAAGUCGAACGGCAGCGCGGGCUUCGGCCUGGCGGCGAGUGGCGAACGGGUGAGUAAUACAUCGGAACGUGCCCAGUAGUGGGGGAUAGCUCGGCGAAAGCCGGAUUAAUACCGCAUACGACCUGAGGGUGAAAGCGGGGGAUCUUCGGACCUCGCGCUAUUGGAGCGGCCGAUGGCAGAUUAGCUAGUUGGUGGGGUAAAGGCCUACCAAGGCGACGAUCUGUAGCUGGUCUGAGAGGACGACCAGCCACACUGGGACUGAGACACGGCCCAGACUCCUACGGGAGGCAGCGGUGGGGAAUUUUGGACGAUGGGCGAAAGCCUGAUCCAGCAAUGCCGCGUGUGUGAUGAAGGCCUUCGGGUUGUAAAGCACUUUUGGCGGGAACGAAAAGGACUGUGCCAAUACCACGGUUCGAUGACGGUACCCGCAGAAUAAGCACCGGCUAACUACGUG
rnacentral:rRNA from 1 species